UGGGGGACAACUCGAGGAAACUCGAGCUAAUACCGCAUACGCCCUACGGGGGAAAGCGGAGGAUCCUUCGGGACUUCGCGCUAUUGGAUGAGCCUAAGUCGGAUUAGCUUGUUGGUGGGGUAAAGGCCUACCAAGGCGACGAUCUGUAGCUGGUCUGAGAGGACGAUCAGCCACACUGGGACUGAGACACGGCCCAGACUCCUACGGGAGGCAGCAGUGGGGAAUAUUGGACAAUGGGGGAAACCCUGAUCCAGCAAUGCCGCGUGUGUGAAGAAGGCCUGCGGGUUGUAAAGCACUUUCAGUAGAGAAGAAAAGCUCAUGGUUAAUACCCGUGGGUCUUGACGUAACCUACAGAAGAAGCACCGGCUAACUCCGUGCCAGCAGCCGCGGUAAUACGGAGGGUGCGAGCGUUAAUCGGAAUUACUGGGCGUAAAGCGCGCGUAGGCGGUUUGGUCAGUCGGAUGUGAAAGCCCUGGGCUCAACCUGGGAAUGGCAUUCGAUACUGCCUGACUAGAGUAUGGUAGAGGGAAGUGGAAUUUCCGGUGUAGCGGUGAAAUGCGUAGAUAUCGGAAGGAACACCAGUGGCGAAGGCGACUUCCUGGGCCA
rnacentral:rRNA from 1 species